rnacentral:rRNA from 1 species
CCUACGGGUGGCAGCAGUGGGGGAUAUUGCACAAUGGGGGAAACCCUGAUGCAGCGACGCCGCGUGUGGGAAGACGGUCUUCUGGAUUGUAAACCACUGUCCCCAGGGACGAAAAUGACGGUACCUGGGGAGGAAGCUCCGGCUAACUACGUGCCAGCAGCCGCGGUAAUACGUAGGGAGCAAGCGUUGUCCGGAAUUACUGGGUGUAAAGGGAGCGUAGGCGGGGUUGCAAGUUGGGUGUCAAAACUACCGGCUCAACCGAAGGAAGCACUCAAAACUGCAGCACUUGAGUGAAGUAGAGGCAGGCGGAAUUCCUAGUGUAGCGGUGAAAUGCGUAGAUAUUAGGAGGAACACCAGUGGCGAAGGCGGCCUGCUGGGCUUUUACUGACGCUGAGGCACGAAAGUGUGGGGAGCAAACAGGAUUAGAUACCCCAGUAGUC